AUCUACAUGAUGAGUCCCAAACAGGACGAAACGUGCUUCAAACUGGAU
rnacentral:hammerhead_ribozyme from 1 species